UUUCCGUAGGUGUACCUGCGGAAGGAUCAUUAUUGAAUGAAACACUUCUGGCUUUAUGCUGUUGUGCUGGCCCUUUGGGCAAUGUGCACACGGCUCUGGUCACUUGUUUCUUCUGUUCCACCUGUGCACUGCCUGUAGACACGCUGUGUCUAUGAUAUUUGUUAACACACAACAAUGUUAGUUGGCAUGUUAUAUAUAAUAAUAAAAUAUACAACUUUCAACAACGGAUCUCUUGGCUCUC
rnacentral:misc_RNA from 1 species